AAAUGUAUCCGAACUUUUUACAGUUCUAAUGAUUUACCCACGAAUAUUUGAAAACCUAUUGAUUUUUAAAAUUACAAAUAUUAGGAAAUGUCGAAUUUAUUAAUAAGUAAAACUAUCGAUUCUAUUAUAAAAAAAAGGUAUUGAUAUUCCUACAAAAUGGAAAAAAUGUUCUUGUCAUAAAAAAUUAGUUUUAUUGCUAAUUUUGUAUGAAUAAUAUUUAUUGUUAAAAAUGUUAGUUAAAGAAAAAUUGUAUACUAUUUAAACAUGUACAAUUUAAAUGUUUGAUAUUCAUACUAAAGAAAUGAAUUUAAGGUUGGAGACUGUUUUCAUUGUGUAUAAAAUCUAAAAGAAACUAUAUAAAGCUGUACUUUCCCGUUUAGAUUUUCACAGGUAAUUUAUGUAAUUUUACAAGUUUUAUUUUUUCACUACUUGAAUAACAUCUUCGUCGUGCAUAACAUGCUGUACUCCUACUCUUUGCGGUGAAUACUUUGUGCUUGUACCCUGAAAAUAAAGUGUUUAGAGCAUCUGUAACAACA